AUUGAACGCUGGCGGCAGGCCUAACACAUGCAAGUCGAGCGAGCGGCGGACGGGUGAGUAAUAUCUGUGAAACUGCCUGCUGGAGGGGGAUAACUCCUGGGAACGGUAUCUAUAACCGCAUAUGCUCACAGGUGCCCAGAUGGGAUUAGCUAGUAGGUGGGGGAACGGCUCACCCAGGCGACGAUCCCUAGCUGGUCUGAGAGGAUGACCAGCCACACUGGAACUGAGACACGGUCCAGACUCCUACGGGAGGCAGCAGUGGGGAAUAUUGCACAAUGGGCUCAAGCCUGAUGCAGCCAUGCCGCGUGGGUGAAGAAGGCCUUCGGGUUGUAAAGCACUUUCAGCGGGGAGGCGUUACCCGCAGAAGAAGCACCGGCUAACUCCGUGCCAGCCGCCGCGGUAAUAC
rnacentral:rRNA from 1 species